GGGCCAGACUCCUACGGGAGGCAGCAGUGGGGGAUAUUGCACAAUGGGGGGAACCCUGAUGCAGCGACGCCGCGUGGGUGAAGAAGUAUUUCGGUAUGUAAAGCCCUAUCGGCAGGGAAGAAUUUAGACGGUACCUGACUAAGAAGCCCCGGCUAACUACGUGCCAGCAGCCGCGGUAAUACGUAGGGGGCAAGCGUUAUCCGGAUUCACUGGGUGUAAAGGGAGCGUAGACGGCCAUGCAAGCCUGGAGUGAAAGCCCGGGGCCCAACCCCGGGACUGCUCUUGGAACUGCGUGGCUGGAGUGCAGGAGGGGCAGGCGGAAUUCCUGGUGUAGCGGUGAAAUGCGUAGAUAUCAGGAGGAACACCGGUGGCGAAGGCGGCCUGCUGGACUGCAACUGACGUUGAGGCCCGAAAGCGUGGGGAGCGAACAGGAUUAGAUACCCGAGUA
rnacentral:rRNA from 1 species